rnacentral:rRNA from 1 species
GACGAACGCUGGCGGCGUGCCUAAUACAUGCAAGUCGGGCGGACCGACCGAGCGCUUGCUCUUGUUUGGUCAGCGGCGGACGGGUGAGUCACACGUGUGCCACCUGCCCGCAAGACCGGGAUAACUCCGGGAAACCGGAGCUAAUACCGGAUAACACCGAAGACCGCAUGGUCUUCGGUUGAAAUGCGGCCUUUGGGCUUUCACUUGCGGAUUGUCCGGCGGCGGAUUAGCUAGUUGGUGAGGUAACGGCUCACCAAGGCGAGGAUGCGUAGCCGGCCGGGGAGGGUGACCGGCCAGACUGGGAGGGGGACAGGGCCCAGAGGGCCACGGGAGGCGGCAGGAGUGCAACGGCAGGAAGGGGCGAAAGCUAGAGGGAGAGAGGCGGAGGGAGGGAGGAACGACGUCGGGUCGGAAAGCUCGGUUGUGAGGGAGGAAGGAGCGCCGUUCGAUGAGGGAGGCGGAGUGACGGUACCUGACGAGAAAGCCCCGGCUAACUACGUG